GCAAGACUCCGUCUCAAAAAAUAAAAAACAAAACAAAACAAAAAACUUUGUAAAGAGCCCUCUCGCUCAUUACCACCAGGGCCGCGCAGGGCGAGAGGUCUCCACUUCCCCUGGAAGGCAGGACCCAGAACCCCCCCAGGUGCUCGAGUUGUGGCUGCGGUUCGCGACUCCGCCCCACUUAUCCGGCUUGUAGAAAAGUCCCACCUGUCAUUAAUGAUUCGUCUGAAACGAAUAGGCGCCUGAGGUAUCCUCACAUUUUAUUGGUUAAUGCUGCUGUUUGUCUUCGGGCGGCGGCCUCUGAGAAAUGUAGUUCCGGAGAACACGGAGUCUUUCCGCUUCCGCUGCUCAGUGGUUAUCCCACUAGCCGUGUUUAGGGCCCGGACUCGGGCUUCUAGUGUCGUGUGGGAACGUUGCGUCCCCGCGGAGAUCAUGUCGCGGGGGCCGAAUCGUCCGUAUUCUUAGGGCCUCGGCGGGCGGGAGUAGCUCUCACCUCGGGCCUGGGCCUCGAGCCAGGGUCCGGCGGCCUCCAGCCCUGGCCCCGAGUCCCCGCAAUCUGACCCGAAGGCAGGAUACGCCCCUUGUGCUGGUGGCGCCCUAUUCCCGCUGCCCGCUGAGCCUGGAGGGACGACGCUGGCCCGUAGCCGCCGAGGCGCCCCUGGCCGCGGGGCCCGCGUUUGCCCCGUAAAGAUUGCAGAGAAAGUCGCCCGCGGAGCAGAGUAACCUUCCAGUGUAAGUCACCCAGUCUGCAGUCGAAGGAUUGAGCCACUGUUCAUUUUCCUGCCUUAAACCAGCUACGUGACCUUGAACAAGUCCCUUGAGGUCUCUAAGCCAUGAUUGCCUCAGCUCUUAAGGGAGUUCAAGCCAGAGUAUCUCUUAACUCUCCAACUCUACCAUCCCAAUUUCAAGAGAAGUUCCAUUUAGUGGCUUCCAAGUGGGAGUUCUGAGGUGGUUUCCCAGUGAGGUGAUAGAAGAUGUUUGAGCUUCAGAGUGCAGUUGCAAGGCUCUUCUCUGACCUGAACAAUGGCUGUAGCUGUGGACCAACAAAUCCAGACUCCUUCAGUACAAGAUCUCCAAACAGUUAAACUGGAAGAAGAUUCCCACUGGGAGCAGGAAAUUUCCCUUCAAGGGAAUUACUCUGGACCGGAGACAUCCUGCCAGAGCUUUUGGCAUUUCCAUUACCAAGAAGCAUCAGGACCCCGAGAGGCCCUCCUCCAGCUCCGGAAGCUCUGUUGUCAGUGGCUAAGGCUAGAGAAGUGUACAAAAGAGCAGAUCCUGGAGUUGCUGGUCCUAGAACAGUUCCUGACUGUCCUUCCCCAGGAGAUCCAGAUCUGGGUCCCACAGCAGCAUCCAGAGAGUGGAGAGGAGGCAGUGGCCCUGGUGAAAGACUUGCAGAAAGAACCUGGAAGACAGAGGCUGGAGGUGAAAUAUAAAAACAUAGUUCUGAGCAGUUAAAAUAGAGCCUCGGACGAGGCCGUCGGGCCGCCACCUCUUCUGCUCAGCUGCCUUCGCCAUGGCCAAUGACAGCUGCGGGCCCGCGAGCCGAGGGAGACUGGCAGUACUGCGAGCUGUGGGGGAAGAUGGAGAACCUGCUGCUCUACAGCCGCCCUUCCUACUGCUGCAAGGAGCACCAGCCUCAGGACUGGAAGAAGUACAAGUUAGUGUGCCAGGGCAGCGAGGGUGUCCUCGGUCACGGAGGCAAAGCCUAGUUUGCUGACAUUGAACCCAACUUUGAUAGACUGCUGUUUUUCUGGUCUGACCGUCGCAACCCUCAUGAAGUACAACAAGCUGAAGUGUGUUGUUACCAUUGAUCUUCUGGCUCUGAGAAUUCCUGCAGAGAAGAGCAGGGUGGUGAGGAGAUAGUGAGCAACUCCCAGGAGCAUGGAGGGAUCCAGAAUCUGGACAGAAGAACCACCUAGAAAUAACUCGGCAGAAUUCUGAAAAUGAGGUCACGCUGGGACUUCCAGUUCCCCAGCCAGAUGGGGUCACAAGGCUGCAGAAAAGUGAAGAGCUUUGGAAUGAAGUUCUCCAGGACUUCAAGGAGAUUCAGAAAACAUCCAGCGCAGAGACAGGGGCUCACCAUGUUGCCCAGGCUGAUCUCGAACUCCUCCUGGACUCAAGCCAUCCUCCCACCGCAGCCUCCCAAAGUACUGGGAUUACAGACAUGAACCACCAUGCUUGACCUGAAUUUUAACUACAAUUAAUUAUCACUUAGCCUGGUUAAUAGAAAAAAUAAACAUGGAAAACCCCAAAUUAAAACUAGAGUCAACCUUAGAUUAUUAGAGGGAUGAAUUUCUCAUCCUUAAGAUGACCUUCCCCUCCCUGGUGGGGCUGUCAUUUUGUUGGAAUUUAAGGGAUCUGAUAAAUCUGGGUACUUUGAAUGUGGGAAAGGCUUCAGUGAUCAUUCUAACCUUACAGCACACUAGAGAAUCCACAUUGGGAAGAAGCCCUACAAAUGUGGAGAGUGCUGGAAGAGCUUUACCCAGAGCUCAAGCCUCAUUACACACCAGAGAAUCCAUACAGAAGAGAAACCUCGUAAGUGUAGUGAGUGUGGAAAAAGUUUCAUCAGUAGCUCACACCUCAGUGUACACUGGCGAAUGCACACUGGUGAGAAACCCUUCCAGUGCCCAGAGUGUGCAAAAAAGUUCAGAAAGAGCUCCACCCCCACCAGCCAUCAAAGGAUCCACACAGGAAAGAAACCCUAUCUGGAAUGUGGGAAAGGUUUCAGUGACCACUCAAACCUCAUUACCCACCUAUGAAUUCACACUGCAGACCCUGUAAAUGCGGGGAAUGUGGGAAAAGCUUUAAUCAGAGCUCAAGUCUCAUUAUACAGCAGCAAAUUCACACAGGAGAAAACCCCUGGCUGGGCGCGGUGGCUCCCACCUGUAAUCCCAGCACUUCGGGAGGCCAAGGUGGGUGAACUGCAAGGUCAGGAGAUUAACACCAUUCUGACCAACAUGGUGAAACCCCGUCUCUACCAAAAAUACAAAAAUUAGCCGGACAUGGUGGUGUGUGCCUGUAAUUACAGCUACUUGGGAGGCUGAGGCAGGAGAAUUGCUUGAACCAGGAAGUCGUAGGUUACAGUGAGCCGAGAUCGUACCACUGCAUCCCAACCUGGUGACAGAGCAAGACUCCAUCUCAAGAAAGAAAAGAAAAGAAAAAAGCCCCUAUGAAUGUAGUGAAUGUGGGAGGUGAUUCAACAAUAGUUCACAUUUUAGUGCACAUCAGAGAACCCACAUGGGAGACUCUAAAUGUUCCCUAAAUGUAGAAGAAAUGUUUUUAAAGCAUUGAGGCUGAAAACAGUAGGAAAUCUAUCCCAAGAAAGGGUUUGUCUUGCCCUUGAUUCUCUACCACAUCACUCACAUGAGAUAAAGAGAAAAUUAAGAUUUCAGUCUGACAGACUUUUCUCUCUCUCACUAAACACUCACUUGGCUUAUGAAAUAGCAGUCAGGGUUUUCUUAUUUGUGCUGUUGAGACAAGUCAGUUUCCAGAGUCUUCAGAGACUACUUCUGAAUUUGAUUAUGUCACCAUCUCAGUGAGUCUUCACUGUGAUUCUGUGCCUUAACUUUCAGUUUGGCAAUGGGGUGAGAUUCUUGUCUCUGAGACCCUCCCUCAAGGACAGAGGCGGCUCUGCACUACUGCACUGAUGAUGUUAAUGAUGGUUGGGUCAGCUGUGGGCUAUUCUAAGCACCUGGCAGCUAGACAUGGGUUUAUUAACUAAAGGAAAUCAUAAAGGUCUAUUGUUCUCUGAGAGGACUGGGGCUCAGAACAUGUCUACAUUUCCCCAAAUGCCUUUUCUUAGGAUUGACUUGGCAUCAAUUGAGAGGAAAGCAUUCUAUAUACUUAAUCCUUUGGAGGAAGGGAAAGGAGAAUAAUAGUUCCAACACUAGAGGUUGGCUUUUUAACCAUAACUUACUCCUCCUCUCAAUGUAUUGGAUUGAACCUUACAAGAUUGCUGUUUUGGUCUACAAAACCAGCAAUUUUACAAUUCAAUCUAAGUAGAAUUUGUGUGGCAGGAUUGCUUUAAAUGCGCAACAGCGCUUGCAGUAGAGCCUUACAGCUCAUACUGUAUCCUAAAAAUGUGAGACUGGGUCUAGAAGGUUGUGAGCCAGAAUAAUGAAGUACAAAAAGCCUUUUCUGUAUAUGUCCAGAGCAGUAACUAGGAACCGUGGCAUUAAGAAGUGUCCUAGUUGGAGAGCUUACCUCUCUAUCACCUUCUUCAAGCGCACUAGUUCCUGUCUAUGCUCAGGUGUCCUCAGGGCUGGGGUCUCCAGAUCCUGGGGAAGAGUCUACGUGUAGGCCAACGGGUUCCUGUGGAUUUGAGCCUCUCUCUAAGAGCCGAACAGAGACCCUGGAAGGACUCAUGUACAGAACAAAUGGGAUUUAGAAAUAAAUGGAAUACAGUUUCUACCUCUGAAAA